AACGAACGCUGGCGGCAGGCUUAACACAUGCAAGUCGAACGCCCCGCAAGGGGAGUGGCAGACGGGUGAGUAACGCGUGGGAACAUACCCUUUUCUACGGAAUAGCUCUGGGAAACUAGAAUUAAUACCGUAUACGCCCUACGGGGGAAAGAUUUAUCGGGGAAGGAUUGGCCCGCGUUGGAUUAGCUAGUUGGUGGGGUAAAGGCCUACCAAGGCGACGAUCCAUAGCUGGUCUGAGAGGAUGAUCAGCCACAUUGGGACUGAGACACGGCCCAAACUCCUACGGGAGGCAGCAGUGGGGAAUAUUGGACAAUGGGCGCAAGCCUGAUCCAGCCAUGCCGCGUGAGUGAUGAAGGCCUUAGGGUUGUAAAGCUCUUUCACCGAUGAAGAUAAUGACGGUACCCGGAGAAGAAGCCCCGGCUAACUUCGUGCCAGCAGCCGCCGUAA
rnacentral:rRNA from 1 species